AAGAGUGAGAGAGCUUCUUAAACACAACAUCAGAUCAGCUGUCUGAACUGAUGUGGAGCUGUGGACGCUGGAAAGUGCUUGAACAAGAGAAAAGUAACACCUGUGUUGAUGUUUGAACACCUGAUGCUGUUUUACAUUUUGCUCUCUCUUCAGCACUGUUUGUACUCUGUUUCAAUCCUCACUUCGUGUUGUUGAAGCACUUUAUAAAAGCUUAUUGACUUUAGGUUCAAUAACAAAACUCAGAUAAUUUGUUCUCACUUCUUCAACUGACACAUUAUUAUUUGUGGUUAUUACACAAACAAAACAACAUGUGUCAAAUCUGUUACCCAGACAAUGUAUAUUGUUUGUGACAUCGAGGUUUGAACUUGACUAAAGUUCUUCCUGCUCACUGCUGAUCAGUACCUGAGUUUAUCACUGAGUUCACCUUCACAGAGAAGUCAGCCGUGUGACAGCGCCCCCUGUGGACCAUCUGUGUAUCUGCCUUUCAAUGAGGAUCUUUCUGUUGCUGUCUAUUUGUCACAACAUCAUGAUGAUCCAUGACUCUGAUCAUAUGUAUUCAUCAAGUUAGGAAUAAAAUAAAUACAAAUAAAAUACAUUGAGAAAGUA